AUGCGGCUACUCAGCAUCUGGGCUGUGUGGACAGCGAUUCUGACAGGCGGGACUCAUGGAGAUUCUGUCACUCAGCCACUCUCAUCAGAUGUUAAGACCGAAGGAGAAGAGCUGACUUUUGAACUGUAACUAUGAUACUACAAGGAGCAGCUAUACGUUAUACUGGUAUUGGCAACACCCAGACACACAGCCCCAGUUUGUACUGUACAAGAACACUAAUGGCAAUGAGGAUAAAGCAGAAUUUGCGAAAAGUCGUUUCUCUGUAAAGCUCCAGAUCUCCACUAAAUUCACUAGUUUAACCAUCUCGGGUCUGCAGCUGAAAGACGCUGCCGUCUAUUACUGCGCUUUCUGGGACUCACAGUGA